UACGUAGGGUGCAAGCGUUGUCCGGAAUUAUUGGGCGUAAAGAGCUCGUAGGCGGCUUGUCGCGUCGGCUGUGAAAACCUGGGGCUCAACCCCGGGCCUGCAGCCGAUACGGGCAAGCGUAGAAUUCGGUAGGGGAGACUGGAAUUCCUGGUGUAGCGGUGAAAUGCGCAGAUAUCAGGAGGAACACCGGUGGCGAAGGCGGGUCUCUGGGCCGAAAUUGACGCUGAGGAGCGAAGGCGUGGGGAGCGAACAGG
rnacentral:rRNA from 1 species